AAUCAUGAACUGCCCAAGUAUUUAUUUAAUAGGAUUUGUGUAGAUACACUAUUUUAAUUAAUUAGACUUAUUAAGUUUAAUUAAUUAUUUUCAAAGAGUAAAUUUUCAUAAUAAUAUCAUAUUAUUAUUAUGUGCAUAUUUUAAGUAAAUUUCUUAUUAUAUGCUAAGCAUGACAUGAAAUUGCAUUAUAUUUUGCAAUAAAAAAAUAUUUAUGAUUUAAUUGGUUUUAUUUAUAAUUCCAAUUAUUAAAGAAAGAUGAGUAAGAAUAUUGUUGGUGUUCUUAACUCAAGAGAAAUGUUUUCAAUUAUUUAUUUAUUAAAUUUUGAAAACCCGGCUAAGUGAAUCAUAGAAUAUUAAGCACUACACCAUGACUUAAGAUUAGCUUCACGAGACCUAUUAAGAAUAGAAUUUCUUGUAGGCUUUGUGACCAGGGGGAUUAGCGCUGCUUUCCCAAGACAGGUUUUUAUGUGUAUGAUCUUCAGGCUUUGCCUAUCCAGGUUGGCUGGCCGGUGCUGACGGGACGGAGCUGAGGCUAGAGUUAAAUUCCUAUGUUAGACUUCCGCUGUAGCAAUUACUCUUAUACAUCUUUUGUUUUCUCAACUUAAGAUGACUUCAUGUCGAGCUUAAAUUUGAAAUUCUAGUUUUAUGCUAAUGAAUGUCGGUUGUCAGAAGCAUGAAACAAAACUUGUGAUCCAAAGGGGCAUAGCCCGACUCUCUAUCUUAUUAUUCGGGUUUUAACAAGGUUGUUCCUUGUUUAUUUCUA